rnacentral:rRNA from 1 species
UACGUAGGGGGGCAAGCGUUGUCCGGAUUUAUUGGGCGUAAAGAGCGUGUAGGCGGCUUUACAGGUCCGUUGUGAAAACUCGAGGCUCAACCUCGAGACGCCGGUGGAAACCGUAAGGCUAGAGUCCGGAAGAGGAGAGUGGAAUUCCUGGUGUAGCGGUGAAAUGCGCAGAUAUCAGGAGGAACACCGAUGGCGAAGGCAGGUCUCUGGGGCCAUAACUGACGCUGAGAAGCGAAAGCAUGGGGAGCGAACAGG